rnacentral:snRNA from 1 species
GGAAAACACCAUCUUCAC